GCAGGCCUGAGUUCUAUAUUGCCAUGUGUGUCAAUGUAGAAUAAGGGUUAAGAUGAAAUGAGAAAGUAAUAGGAGAUGACGACUAGGGAGAUGGUCCCGUGCUCUGGCAAACAUGUUUGAGAUUCUUUGUCCCUCUGACACAGCUCAGCAGGGUGACUGUACAGGAUGAAGUGAAAGUCGUAUUCAGAGAGGGUGGGUUUCCUGUGGGUGUCCACAAACCAUGACGUGAAGACUGUGGGAGUAAAGGGAAAUGAUAAGUGGUUUGAAAGUCCUAAAGGGCAAGAGGUGAUGUGUGCGUUUCCAAGGGCAGAGAAAUGGCUGGUUACACAAGCUUCUGAUAAGAAAGUUCACAAGAACACGUCUAUCCUGUUCCUGCACAGGGGCAGCUCAGGAAUGUCAGAAGAGCCAUUCUUGGAAUGGCAAAGGGCACUUCCUUCAAAUUCUACAGAUGAGAAGGUCCCUGUACAGCCACUGGCAUGGCUUUGGCUGGUUUCAUAUCAGGAGUCACUUUUUUAACACAGCAUGGAAUAGCCACUGGCCCUCACUAAUGGCCUUGUGAUCUCCCUGGGGGUUUUGCACCUUCAUCUGCCACAUGGAUGCCAUGAGCCUAUGACAGAUGGAUGCAGACUUGACACUCUACCCCACCGGUUUUAAAAUUCCAAAAUCCGAUCCCAACUCUGUCUUGGAAAUAGACAGGAAGUUGGUUCAUGCCUGGCUAUGUUUACUUGCAAGCCUUUGGGUUAGCCAUACCGUCUGGCUUCAAAUUGGACAGCUGUACACUUUUCCAGGAUUCAAGCCAAAAUUUUUUUUUAAUGCUGAUUUGCUAAUUGGAUGCCAGGAACUGAGGAUCCAACUGAAUCUUAGGAACAUGGAUAGUCUUACUGUGUUGUGUGAGCACACUGUGAGCCUCCAGCCUUGGGACUGCUAUGGUUUGUGAGCACAAUGUGAUCCUCUAACCUUGAGACAGGAGAUCAAAGGCAGAAGGCUGAAGUUCUGCAGAGCCUUCUCCCACCCUUCUCUCCUUUGGGUCCUGUGAAGAGGAACUGUCUAUUUAAUUACAACAUGCAUAAUAGAUGGACCUUGACAGUUACAGAGGUGAGUCUGGAAUGGGUAAAGCCCUCAAAUAUAUGAAGCUUUCGAUUGUGGAUUAUAGGGAAAUUCCCCAUAUUUGGGAAGAUGUGGAGGACUGGAACCAUUUCUGUAGGGAUCUUGCAGCUAUAACCAGGAUCCUGGAUGUUCCCUGAAUGCAUACAUGUUAGAGGCUUGUCCCUCAGAGUGGAGGGGUUUGGAAGUAUUAGAACCUUUGGGAGGUGGAGCCUAGGUGAAUGAAGGGCAUCAGGUCACUGGGGGCUUGCUUCUGAAGGAGAUCAUGGGACAUGCCCAUUCCUUAUUCUCUCUACUCUGUUUUUAUUUGGCCCAUGGACACUGAAUGAGGUACCUGAACCUUCAGACACUGAG
rnacentral:lncRNA from 1 species